rnacentral:rRNA from 1 species
AGAGUUUGAUCAUGGCUCAGAAUCAACGCUGGCGGCGUGCCUAACACAUGCAAGUCGAACGAGAAAGUGGAGCAAUCCAUGAGUAGAGUGGCGUACGGGUGAGUAACACGUGACUAACCUUCCUUCGAGUGGGGAAUAACCUCGGGAAACCAGGGCUAAUACCGCAUAACAUCGUCGGGUGAAACUCCCGAUGAUCAAAGGGGUAAGACGCUUGAAGAGGGGGUCGCGGCUGAUUAGUUAGUUGGCGGGGUAAUGGCCCACCAAGACGAUGAUCAGUAUCCGGCCUGAGAGGGCGCACGGACACACUGGAACUGAAACACGGUCCAGACUCCUACGGGAGGCAGCAGUGGGGAAUUUUGCGCAAUGGGGGAAACCCUGACGCAGCAACGCCGCGUGGAGGAUUAAGUCCCUUGGGAUGUAAACUCCUUUCGACAGGGAAGAAACUGACGGUACCUGUAGAAGAAGCCCCGGCUAACUUCGUGCCAGCAGCCGCGGUAAUACGAGGGGGGCAAGCGUUGUUCGGAAUUAUUGGGCGUAAAGGGUGCGUAGGCUGUGCGGUAAGUCACCUGUGAAAUCUCCGAGCUCAACUCGGAGCCUGCAGGCGAAACUGCCGUGCUGGAGUAUGGGAGAGGUGCGUGGAAUUCCCGGUGUAGCGGUGAAAUGCGUAGAUAUCGGGAGGAACACCUGUGGCGAAAGCGGCGCACUGGACCAUUACUGACGCUGAUGCACGAGAGCUAGGGGAGCAAACAGGAUUAGAUACCCUAGUAGUCC